rnacentral:rRNA from 1 species
UACAGAGGAUGCAAGCGUUAUCCGGAAUGAUUGGGCGUAAAGCGUCUGUAGGUGGCUUUUUAAGUCCGCCGUCAAAUCCCAGGGCUCAACUCUGGACAGGCGGUGGAAACUACCAAGCUGGAGUACGGUAGGGGCAGAGGGAAUUUCCGGUGGAGCGGUGAAAUGCGUAGAUAUCAGGAGGAACACCGAUGGCGAAGGCAGGUCUGCUGGGCUGACACUGACGCUCAUGCACGAAAGCGUGGGGAGCAAACAGG